rnacentral:rRNA from 1 species
GACGAACGCUGGCGGCGCGCUUAACACAUGCAAGUCGAGCGAGAACCAGGGCUUCGGCCCUGGGGACAGCGGCGAACGGGUGAGUAACACGUGAGUAAUCCACCCUCGGUACCGGAAUAGCCCGGGGAAACCCGGAUUAAUGCCGGAUGGCCCAACAGCCCUUCGGAGCGGUUGGAAAAGAUAGCUUCGGCCUUCGACCGAGGACGAGCUCGCGGCGGAUUAGCUUGUUGGUGGGGUAACGGCCUACCAAGGCGACGAUCCGUAGCUGGUCUGAGAGGACGAUCAGCCACACUGGGACUGAGACACGGCCCAGACUCCUACGGGAGGCAGCAGUGGGGAAUCUUGCGCAAUGGGCGAAAGCCUGACGCAGCGACGCCGCGUGCGGGAAGAAGGCCUUCGGGUUGUAAACCGCUUUCAGGAGGGACGAAGCCACUCGGGUGAAUAGCCCAGAGGGUGACGGUACCUCCAGGAGAAGCCCCGGCUAACUACGUGCCAGCCGCCGCUGUAAUAC